ACCCUCCAGAUCCCUUACCCAUCGCAGCUAAGCAUGGAUCUGAGGGGCUGUGAAAGGAGGACCAGUGACACCGAAAUCGAGUCGGAUUCUUAGUGACGUACAAGUUCGUUUUAAAAACAAAAAAAU
rnacentral:snoRNA from 1 species